rnacentral:rRNA from 1 species
UCAGCGACUUAUAUUCUGUAGCAAGGUUAACCGAAUAGGGGAGCCGAAGGGAAACCGAGUCUUAACUGGGCGUUAAGUUGCAGGGUAUAGACCCGAAACCCGGUGAUCUAGCCAUGGGCAGGUUGAAGGUUGGGUAACACUAACUGGAGGACCGAACCGACUAAUGUUGAAAAAUUAGCGGAUGACUUGUGGCUGGGGGUGAAAGGCCAAUCAAACCGGGAGAUAGCUGGUUCUCCCCGAAAGCUAUUUAGGUAGCGCCUCGUGAAUUCAUCUCCGGGGGUAGAGCACUGUUUCGGCAAGGGGGUCAUCCCGACUUACCAACCCGAUGCAAACUGCGAAUACCGGAGAAUGUUAUCACGGGAGACACACGGCGGGUGCUAACGUCCGUCGUGAAGAGGGAAACAACCCAGACCGCCAGCUAAGGUCCCAAAGUCAUGGUUAAGUGGGAAACGAUGUGGGAAGGCCCAGACAGCCAGGAUGUUGGCUUAGAAGCAGCCAUCAUUUAAAGAAAGCGUAAUAGCUCACUGGUCGAGUCGGCCUGCGCGGAAGAUGUAACGGGGCUAAACCAUGCACCGAAGCUGCGGCAGCGACGCUUAUGCGUUGUUGGGUA